rnacentral:rRNA from 1 species
UACGAAGGGAGCGAGCGUUGUUCGGAAUCACUGGGCUUAAAGCGUGCGUAGGCGGAUCUGUAAGUCAGACGUGAAAUCCCGGGGCUUAACCCCGGAACUGCUUUUGAGACUGCAAAUCUGGAAUCCGGUAGAGGUUAGUGGAAUACCCAGUGUAGAGGUGAAAUUCGCAGAUAUUGGGUGGAACACCAGUGGCGAAGGCGACUAACUGGACCGGUAUUGACGCUGAGGCACGAAAGCGUGGGUAGCAAACAGG